rnacentral:rRNA from 1 species
GACGAACGCUGGCGGCGUGCUUAACACAUGCCAGUCGAACGGAAAGGCCCUGCUUUUGUGGGGUGCUCGAGAGGCGAACGGGUGAGUAACACGUGAGUAACCUGCCCUUGACUUUGGGAUAACUUCAGGAAACUGGGGCUAAUACCGGAUAGGAGCUCCUGCUGCAUGGUGGGGGUUGGAAAGUUUCGGCGGUUGGGGAUGGACUCGCGGCUUAUCAGCUUGUUGGUGGGGUAGUGGCUUACCAAGGCUUUGACGGGUAGCCGGCCUGAGAGGGUGACCGGCCACAUUGGGACUGAGAUACGGCCCAGACUCCUACGGGAGGCAGCAGUGGGGAAUAUUGCACAAUGGGCGGAAGCCUGAUGCAGCAACGCCGCGUGCGGGAUGACGGCCUUCGGGUUGUAAACCGCUUUCGCCUGUGACGAAGCGUGAGUGACGGUAAUGGGUAAAGAAGCACCGGCUAACUACGUG